rnacentral:rRNA from 1 species
UACGAAGGGGCUAGCGUUGCUCGGAAUCACUGGCGUAAAGCGCACGUAGGCGGCUUUCUAAGUCAGGGGUGAAAUCCUGGAGCUCAAACUCCAGAACUGCCUUUGAUACUGGAAGCUUGAGUCCGGGAGAGGUGAGUGGAACUCCGAGUGUAGAGGUGAAAUUCGUAGAUAUUCGGAAGAACACCAGUGGCGAAGGCGGCUCACUGGCCCGGUACUGACGCUGAGGUGCGAAAGCGUGGGGAGCAAACAGG